GAACAAUAUGUUCUAGGGAAAUGAGCUCUGGAGACGGGGUUCCAGUUGGGAGUUCACUGCCGAUUGCUGUCUGAGCUCAGAGACACCUUCUGGCCACCAUGGACCUUGGUUUCCCCAGCUGUGACUCGCCGGUAUAUGCUACCGCCACCUUCUCUGACAAAGAGAGGAUUUAUUAUCCCCAUCUUUGGACAUGAGCUCCUUGAAGGCAGAGGAGUGGAACCAGCCACCACGUUGUCAGGAUGCUCAUGUAGCCUUCUGGAGAUGUUCAAAGAGUUGCUGAGGCCUCCUGCCGACAGCCAGCACUGAUUCGUUAGGCGUAUCUAUAUGCCACCUUGGAAGCGGAUCCUGGAGCCUUCACAUGACACUGGCUGACAUCUUGACUGCAUCCCCUGAACCAGACUUCCACAGAGGCAUAGAAACUGUGUCACCAGAUUUUGGCCAGUGUGCUUUACAGCGCCCUGAACACAGAGCCCCUGAGGCUCCCCCAGCGGGUGAGAAGCAGGGCCGCCUUGGGUGGUGUUACGCUAUCAACAUUCAACAAUGAAGAGGAUCCUGGUGUUGGAGUCCGGAGACAUGCUUGCAGAUCCCUUCAGAACCGGGGAGAAGCUCUGGGCCUCAGGUCCUGUAUCUGUGAGGUGGGUGCUGCAUGCAGACACCCUGGCUGGAGUGUCUGGGUCUCUGGGG